rnacentral:tRNA from 1 species
GAGGAUAUAGCUCAGGGAUAGAGUGAGUGCCUAGCACACACGAGGUCCUGGGUUCAAUCCCCAGUACCUCU